GGUUCGGUGGUGUAGUGGUUAUCACGUCUGUCUCACAUAUAUCGGGUAUUGCCAAGUGCACAGGAGGUCCCCGGUUCGAAACCGGGUCGAACCA